GGGCGGCCACCCUGGACAGUAACUGACGCUGAGGCGCGAAAGUGUGGGGGGGCAAACAGGAUUAGAUACCCUGGUAGUCCACGCUGUAAACGAUGAACACUGGGUGUGGGUGGGAGUCGACCCCUGCCGUGCCGUAGCUAACGCGAUAAGUGUUCCGCCUGGGGAGUACGGUCGCAAGGCUGAAACUCAAAGGGAAUUGACGGGGGCCCGCACAAGCGGGUGGAGCAUGUGGUUUAAUUCGACGCAACGCGAAGAACCUUACCUGGGCUUGAACUGACAUGGACCGGUACAGAGAUGUGCCUUUUCGCAAGAACUGUGUCAGAGGUGCUGCAUGGCUGUCGUCAGCUCGUGUCGUGAGAUGUUGGUUAAGUCCCGCAACGAGCGCAACCCUUACCCCUAGUUGCCAGCGCGUCAGGCGGGAACUCUAGAAGGACUGCCCGGGUUAACCGGGAGGAAGGUGGGGAUGAUGUCAAGUCCUCAUGGCCCUUAUGUCCAGGGCUACACACGUGCUACAAUGGGCGAUACAAACCGUUGCGAGAUCGCGAGAUGGAGCUAAUCGGAGAAAGUCGUCCUCAGUUCGGAUUGCAGUCUGCAACUCGACUGCAUGAAGGUGGAAUCGCUAGUAAUCGUGUAUCAGAAUGAUACGGUGAAUACGUUCCCGGGCCUUGUACACACCGCCCGUCACAUCACGAAAGCCGGGAGCACUUGAAGAGGGUGAGGUAACCGCAAGGAGCCAGCUCUCAAUGGUGAACUUGGUGAUUGGGGUGAAGUCGUAACAAGGUA
rnacentral:rRNA from 1 species